UGAGCUGAGGCGUGAUGACGAGGAACCACGGUUCCGAAGUGAUUGAUACCAAGCUUCCAGGAAAAGCCACUAAGCUUCAGUCUAGAGUUGACCGUACCGCAAACCGACACAGGUGGGCAGGAUGAAAAUUCUAAGGCGCUUGAGAGAACUCAGGAGAAGGAACUCGGCAAAUUAACACCGUAACUUCGGGAGAAGGUGUGCCCCGGUAGCGUGUAGAGACUUGCUCUCGAAGCGCGAUGGGGUUGCAGUGAAAUGGUGGCUGCGACUGUUUAAUAAAAACACAGCACUCUGCAAACACGAAAGUGGACGUAUAGGGUGUGACGCCUGCCCGGUGCCGGAAGGUUAAGUGAUGGGGUGCAAGCUCUUGAUCGAAGCCCCGGUAAACGGCGGCCGUAACAAUAACGGUCCUAAGGUAGCGAAAUUCCUUGUCGGGUAAGUUCCGACCUGCACGAAUGGCGUAACGAUGGCCACACUGUCUCCUCCUGGGACUCAGCGAAGUUGAAAUGUUUGUGAAGAUGCAAUCUACCCGCGGCUAGACGGAAAGACCCCAUGAACCUUUACUGUAGCUUUGCAUUGGACUUUGAACCGGUUUGUGUAGGAUAGGUGGGAGACUGUGAAGCCGGGACGCUAGUUUCGGUGGAGUCAACCUUGAAAUACCACCCUGAUUUGUUUGAGGUUCUAACCUUGGUCCGUGAAUCCGGAUCGGGGACCGUGCAUGGUAGGCAGUUUGACUGGGGCGGUCUCCUCCCAAAAGGUAACGGAGGAGUACGAAGGUACGCUUAGGGCGGUCGGACAUCGCCCACAAAGUGCAAUGGCAAAAGCGUGCUUGACUGCGAGACCCACAAGUCGAGCAGGUACGAAAGUAGGUCAUAGUGAUCCGGUGUUCUGUAUGGAAGGGCCAUCGCUCAACGGAUAAAAGGUACUCUGGGGAUAACAGGCUAAUUCCUCCCAAGAGUUCAUAUCGACGGGGGAGUUUGGCACCUCGAUGUCGGCUCAUCACAUCCUGGGGCUGUAGUCGGUCCCAAGGGUAUGGCUGUUCGCCAUUUAAAGUGGUACGCGAGCUGGGUUUAAAACGUCGUGAGACAGUUCGGUCCCUAUCUGCCGUGGGCGCUGGAAAUUUGAAGGGGGCUGCUCCUAGUACGAGAGGACCGGAGUGGACGAACCUCUGGUGUACCGGUUAUGACGCCAGUCGUAUCGCCGGGUAGCUAAGUUCGGAAGAGAUAAACGCUGAAAGCAUCUAAGCGUGAAACUCGCCUUAAGAUAAGAUUUCCCGGAGUCUUGAACUCCCUGAAGGGUCGUCGAAGACCACGACGUUGAUAGGUCAGGUGUGGAAGCGCAGCAAUGCGUUAAGCUAACUGAUACUAAUUGCCCGUGCGGCUUGAUCCU
rnacentral:rRNA from 1 species